UCCCAUGUUUUUGUGCAAAAGUGGCUGCUUUGGCACAAAAUCAUGUAAAUGUAGACACAGCCCUGAUGUUUAGUUUAAGAGGGCUAUUUUAUUUUCCUGUAUGGACCAACCUUAGCUUUGCAGAAGAGCUGAGAGGGACUUGAGCCUGUAGCACUGGUGGAUUUCCUUACCUGCAGCCCAUGUAUGAACAGAACCAAAAUGAGUUUGCUGAAGCACAAAACUCUCAGUAACGAAGCACAGUUAUUUUUUUUCCCUCUCUUUUUGAGACAGACUGAAAAUGCCUGUUGCUAUUGAUCUUGUCUCCAUUUUCUUUCCUAUUGCGGAUAGUGAGUGAAAACCAUGUGUUAAGAUGAUUUACCUAGUGAAAUUCUGAGAGGGUGAUCAUUUCCUGUUAGAGGAUUAGGCUACUAUUUCAGACUUUUAUAUGUUCUUUGAGUAGCCUUUGUUUUGUAUGGACAAUCCCAGAACCUAGGGGUGCUUUUGUCACGUGUCCCUUCUUAAAAAGUGGCAAUUGCACCGCUGUUGUAUACAGCCUUGCAAGCGAAUAAAACACUCAUGCCUGCCCUAGUUCAAAGGUCAUUUUAAAUUGAUCAAUUUAAAAAUUAGUGGGGGGAGGAAAAUGAGCCAGAAUUGGCAGGUCCUACCUACUGAACUCAGGUGCUAAGUUGUCAUGUGUUCAACAUAUCUGCUAAGGCCAGUUACAUCCGCAAAGACAAUGACCUUUUUGAAGCAUAUUUCACUCUCUCAGCCUCCUCAGGCUGAAGCAAUUAUACUGUGAGCCAUUAAACAGAAAAAAGAUACAGCCAUGAGACUAGUUUUGCCACCAAAGCCCACAACGAGUUGAAGGGCAUUUUUCAGAGCCGCCUGCAUGGGGUUGGUUUUCUGUUCUCCCAGGGCAGACUUGAGGAAAAUGUUUCUAACUUAUUCAUGAAUCAUGUUACUGAUCAGCAUUGACUCUGAAUCAAUUUUAAUGACACUAACAUCCAUAUCUGUAUAUAUCUAAAUGGGCAUUAUUUUUUUAGGUCAAUGUACUAUUUUCCCCACUCAACCUGCUCCUGUCUUAACUUUUUUACAAGGGUCUUGAUUCUUGUCAGCAAAAAAAACAACUUGUUCUGAAAAUUCAGAGCAUGCUAUCGGAUUACACAGGGUGCUUUGUGACAUGUUACUGAGCAACAAAAAUAAAGCAAAAGAUGCAAUUAUGGCAAACUGGAAGUUGAAGUUACCAGCUGUAACUUUUUGCUCUGCAUAGUUCUGUAGUUUAAAAAUAAAAUGAAUGAACCAAUAAAUUUUUUUUGAAAUGUCUGUUUA